AUUGAACGCUGGCGGCAGGCCUAACACAUGCAAGUCGAACGAGUGGCGGACGGGUGAGUAAUGUCUGGGAAACUGCCCGAUGGAGGGGGAUAACUACUGGAAACGGUAGCUAAUACCGCAUACCAUCGGAUGUGCCCAGAUGUGAUUAGCUUGUAGGUGAGGUAACGGCUCACCUCGGCGACGAUCCCUAGCUGGUCUGAGAGGAUGACCAGACGAACUGGAACUGAGACACGGUCCAGACUCCGACGGGAGGCAGCAGUGGGGAAGAUUGAACAAUUGGGGGAAGCCUGAUGCAGCCAGGCCGCGUGUAUGAAGAAGGACUUCGGGUUGUAAAGUACUUUCAGCGGGGAGGCGUUACACGCAGAAGAAGCACCGGCUAACUCCGUGCCAGCAGCCGCGGUAAUAC
rnacentral:rRNA from 1 species